ACGGCAGCACGGGAGCUUGCUCCUGGUGGCGAGUGGCGAACGGGUGAGUAAUAUAUCGGAACGUAUCCAAUAAUGGGGGAUAACUAGUCGAAAGAUUAGCUAAUACCGCAUACGCCCUGAGGGGGAAAGCUGGGGAUCUUCGGACCUAGCGUUAAUGGAGCGGCCGAUAUCUGAUUAGCUAGUAGGUGAGGUAAAGGCUCACCUAGGCAUCGAUCAGUAGCUGGUCUGAGAGGACGACCAGCCACACUGGAACUGAGACACGGUCCAGACUCCUACGGGAGGCAGCAGUGGGGAAUUUUGGACAAUGGGCGCAAGCCUGAUCCAGCCAUUCCGCGUGAGUGAAGAAGGCCUUCGGGUUGUAAAGCUCUUUCGCAAGGGAAGAAAACUUAACCUCUAACAUAGGUUGAGGCUGACGGUACCUUGAUAAGAAGCACCGGCUAACUACGUGCCAGCAGCCGCGGUAAUACGUAGGGUGCGAGCGUUAAUCGGAAUUACUGGGCGUAAAGCGUGCGCAGGCGGCCUGAUAAGUCAGAUGUGAAAUCCCCGAGCUCAACUUGGGAACUGCGUUUGAAACUAUCAAGCUAGAAUAUGUCAGAGGGGGGGUAGAAUUCCACGUGUAGCAGUGAAAUGCGUAGAGAUGUGGAGGAAUACCAAUGGCGAAAGCAGCCCCCUGGGAUAAUAUUGACGCUCAUGCACGAAAGCGUGGGGAGCAAACAGGAUUAGAUACCCUGGUAGUCCACGCCCUAACGAUGUCUACUAGUUGUUGGUGGGAGUAAAAUCCAUGAGUAACGCAGCU
rnacentral:rRNA from 1 species